AACGCGAAGAACCUUACCUGGAUUUGACAUCCUCGGACAGCCCUAGAAGUAGGGUCUUCCCUUCGGGGACCGAGAGACAGGUGCUGCAUGGCUGUCGUCAGCUCGUAUCGUGAGAUGUCGGGUUAAGUCCCUUAACGAGCGCAACCCUUAUCCCUAGUUGCCACCAUUUAGUUGGGCACUCUAAGGAGACCGCCGGUGUUAAACCGGAGGAAGGUGGGGAUGACGUCAAGUCCUCAUGGCCCUUAUAUCCAGGGCUACACACGUGCUACAAUGGCCGAUACAGAGGGCUGCUAACCCGCGAGGGGGAGCUAAUCUCAGAAAGUCGGUCUCAGUUCGGAUUGAAGUCUGCAACUCGACUUCAUGAAGCUGGAAUCGCUAGUAAUCGCGGAUCAGAACGCCGCGGUGAAUACGUUCCCGGGCCUUGUACACACCGCGCAUA
rnacentral:rRNA from 1 species